UCAUUCAAAUAUCUGCCCUAUCAACUUUCGAUGGUAAGAUAGAGGCCUACCAUGGUUUCAACGGGUAACGGGGAAUAAGGGUUCGAUUCCGGAGAGGGAGCCUGAGAAAACGGCUACCACAUCCAAGGAAGGCAGCAGGCGCGCAAAUUACCCAAUCCCGACACGGGGAGGUAGUGACAAUAAAUAACAAUAUAGGGCUCUUUCGGGUCCUAUAAUUGGAAUGAGUACAAUUUAAAUCCCUUAACGAGGAACAAUUGGAGGGCAAGUCUGGUGCCAGCAAGGCGCGGUAAUUCCAGCUCCAAUAGCGUAUAUUAAAGGUUUGUUGCAGUUAAAAAGCUCGUA
rnacentral:rRNA from 1 species